GAUGAACGCUGGCGGCGUGCCUAAUACAUGCAAGUCGAGCGAACGGACGAGAAGCUUGCUUCUCUGAUGUUAGCGGCGGACGGGUGAGUAACACGUGGAUAACCUACCUAUAAGACUGGGAUAACUUCGGGAAACCGUAGCUAAUACCGGAUAAUAUUUUGAACCGCAUGGUUCAAAAGUGAAAGACGGUCUUGCUGUCACUUAUGGAUGGAUCCGCGCUGCAUUAGCUAGUUGGUAAGGUAACGGCUUACCAAGGCAACGAUGCAUAGCCGACCUGAGAGGGUGAUCGGCCACACUGGAACUGAGACACGGUCCAGACUCCUACGGGAGGCAGCAGUAGGGAAUCUUCCGCAAUGGGCGAAAGCCUGACGGAGCAACGCCGCGUGAGUGAUGAAGGUCUUCGGAUCGUAUAACUCUGUUAUUAGGGAAGAACAUAUGUGUAAGUAACUGUGCACAUCUUGACGGUACCUAAUCAGAAAGCCACGGCUAACUACGUG
rnacentral:rRNA from 1 species